rnacentral:rRNA from 1 species
UACGAAGGGGGCGAGCGUUGUUCGGAAUUACUGGGCGUAAAGGGCGCGUAGGCGGCGAUCCUAGUCAGAUGUGAAAGUCCUGGGCUUAACCUGGGGACUGCAUUUGAUACUGGAUUGCUUGAAUUCGGGAGAGGAUAGCGGAAUUCCCAGUGUAGAGGUGAAAUUCGUAGAUAUUGGGAAGAACACCGGUGGCGAAGGCGGCUAUCUGGACCGACAUUGACACUGAGGAGCGGAAGCCAGGGGAGCAAACGGG